GUGGGGUGGCAGUGGCCGUUUAGGGCUUCAGAGGGCAGACGGGGGAGAUGACAGAGUUAGACGAGACAGGGGGCGUGGGGGUACAAGGAACAGGAAGGUCGAGGAGGAGACCAGGUUUGGGGGGCGGCUGUGCUGGGCAGAGCUGCGUUGGAAGUGCCCGCAGUCGCCCAGGGGGAGGACAACCGUCUAGGCCAGGCUGUCGCUGCCGCCCGCUGGGGAUGGGCACUUGCCUCUGGAGGACGCCGCUCCUGCGCGGGCUGAGCGGUCCCCCAGUGCCCUGGUCUCUGUGGAAGGAGGAAGGCAGUGAGAGACAGGAGGAGGUGGAAUUGGGCAGUUGAUGCCCUGAGAAUGAUCGGGAAGGAAGGCAGUGGGGUGCAGGGCCGCAGGUGGGCCGGGAGGACAGACCUUGACCUUGUCAGUACCAGCAGCCCCCUUUUUUCCCCAGACAGAGGGUUGUGAACCCGCCCGGGCAUGAGGCCUGGUGUUGUGGAAACCGCACUUAGCUUCGCGGCCGGACAGCUCUGGCCCCGGGUGGUAUGUAAUUUUGGCUGGGCGUGGGACAGGGGCCAGGCCAGGCCCAGCCUAGUGCAACCCAGGUCUGGGUGUGAGGCGAGACGCCUGGUCGGAGGUGAGGGUGGCCCGAGUCAUAGGUAAGGUGCCACCCUAAGCCGUUAAUGGUGUGGCAUCUUAGGUAUCGGACAGGCGGGGGCUGCUGAGGCAGGAUGUUUGUGUGUCUGG